UACGGAGGAUCCAAGCGUUAUCCGGAUUCAUUGGGUUUAAAGGGUGCGUAGGCGGAAUAGUAAGUCAGUGGUGAAAUCCUGUCGCUUAACGACAGAACUGCCAUUGAUACUGAUGAUCUUGAGUACAUUUGAAGUGGGCGGAAUGUGUCAUGUAGUGGUGAAAUACUUAGAUAUGACACAGAACACCGAUUGCGUAGGCAGCUCACUAAACUGUAACUGACGCUGAGGCACGAAAGCGUGGGGAGCAAACAGG
rnacentral:rRNA from 1 species